UAAAAUCUACAUUACAGAUAAGAUAAUGAUACAACUAUAUAGUAUAUAGAACUACACAUAGAACAACCACAGCGCAAUGUGGUAACACAAUACAAUUCAACUCAUUAAGGGUAAAGUAUUUAAUAACUAAUAGAAUUGUUGAUGUAAAAUAAUACCAAUGAGGCUGGGAUAAUUGAGUGAAUGACAGAAAUACUUACUUAUAGGGAAAAAUACAAACUUUCUGUAGAUUAAGGUUCUUAGUUGAAAAAGUUUACAAGAUAAAACUGAAGUGUCCUGAUUUUUUAUUUGACUCAGCUUAAUUUAAAUUAUAUUUCAGUGAGAUUCUGUUUUGUACUUCUAGUGUGAGGUAAAAUGGAAAAGGCAGACCAGAGACAAAAGAAAAGAAGCUACUGGAUGGGGAUAAUGUACACACUUUCCUUACCUUUCCCAUUUUGAAUGGAUGGAAGUUUCAGCACAGUUAUAGAGUGAGAAGAGGCAGCCUUUAUAUAUGUCCUGGAUUGCUGCUGCCUGCAUACAUACAGUUUUUGUCCAGUACUCUAUCACAUGAUUAAGACCGGCAAAUAGCAAUUUCAGGUUUAACAGCACUGUAUCAAAAACUGCUUUAUGCUAGAUGCAAGAUGGAAGGCAUUUUGGAAAAACAGGCUAAGGCUAAGGACCCACGGAGCGGGCAACUAACUACUUGGAAAUGCCUUUCCACCGGAGUCACCAAGGAAAAGGGCGAUGCAUCAGUUUGGCUUUCCAAAGUCAUGUGAAGUUGCCUGCAUGAGACAUAGCAGCUUUGUUUAUAUAAAUUAUA